rnacentral:rRNA from 1 species
CAGAGGGGGCAAGCGUUGUUCGGAAUUACUGGGCGUAAAGGGCGCGUAGGCGGCCUGUUAAGUCGAACGUGAAAUCCCCGGGCUCAACCCGGGAACUGCGUCCGAAACUGGCAGGCUUGAAUCCGGGAGAGGGAUGUGGAAUUCCAGGUGUAGCGGUGAAAUGCGUAGAUAUCUGGAGGAACAUCGGUGGCGAAGGCGACAUCCUGGACCGGUAUUGACGCUGAGGCGCGAAAGCCAGGGGAGCAAACGGGAUUAGAUACCCCGGUAGUCCUGGCCCUAAACGAUGAAUGCUUGGUGUGGCGGGUAUCGAUCCCUGCCGUGCCGAAGCUAACGCAUUAAGCAUUCCGCCUGGGGAGUACGGUCGCAAGGCUG